UUCUCGGUAUUUGCCGUUGUGCCAGUCAGAGGUGCCGCUGCUACAUUUGGCGGAGCUACCACUGCUGCCCCAAAGGGCAACCUUCAUCAGACAUUACCUCAUAACAGUGCCUCAAAGACCAGUUUGACACGAUUGACUUGUCGGAUAACGAGAUUGUCAAGCUUGAGAACUUCCCUUUCAUGAAUCGCCCAGGGAGCCCGCACCUGAUUACAACUUACAAUGAGAAGGAGCAGGUGACGCCCAGGGAGCUCAGCAUCCGAGUCCCGGCCAUCCUUCGCAGCAAGGACGAGGAGGGCGUCAAGGGCUACCGCGUCGCCGGAGCCGUCAACAACUACACCUCCCAGCUCCUCACCUAGGGGUCAUCAUCACAAUCUCCAUCUUGUAAAUCUUCCCGCCAAUAUAACCUGACGGAAGCGCUCUUGUUCCUCUCACACUUCAUGGGCGACAUCCACAAGGUAGUACUCCUGCCAAACCCCCAAGUGCUCGAUUUUUGUAAGUGUUUCUGUUGCGGGUUGCAACUUAAGCCGAUGCUUCUUGUUUAUGUAGCCACUAAAAUAUGUACUUCACCAUGUAAGGCUAGUUCAGACUUGAGGCUGAACCCUUCUCUGUGUAGUAUGAUUCCGAGGAAACAUAUGUCAAUAAUGCUGAAACUUUU